rnacentral:rRNA from 1 species
UACGGUAGGGGGCUAGCGUUGUCCGGAAUCAUUGGGCGUAAAGAGCGUGUAGGCGGCCCGGUAAGUCCGCUGUGAAAGUCGGGGGCUCAACCCUCGAAUGCCGGUGGAUACUGUCGGGCUAGGAGUGCGGAAGAGGCGAGUGGAAUUCCUGGUGUAGCGGUGAAAUGACGCAGAUAUCAGGAAGAACACCCGUGGCGAAGGCGGUUCUCUGGGACGGUACUGACGCUGAGACGCGAAAGCGUGGGGAGCGAACAGG